AGUGAUGAAUUGUAAAUUGUAAUCAAACAAUAAGAGAUGAAUCUUAUGAUAAAUGUAUGGCCAGAAAAUAGAGUGCUGGGAAAUAGGUGGCAUUGAUUUCAGCUUGCCUGAUCUCUUUUUGAAAAUCUUGGUAAAGUGUCUUCCAAAAAUACUUCCAAUUAGUCACAUAUCACCUUUUUAAAACUUUGCCUCUCUGCAUCAGCUACUUGAUCUUCCCAAUUUCCUUCCUCUCACGUACCAACAAAAUCGGCGAACUCGAGGAAUCAGAUUCAAAACCCGACGAGUCAUCCCGGAACCCGAAUCCGAAUCCUAAAACCGCGAGGACAAAGGUUCCAGAAGUGGAGAUCUACUUGUAUCGGCGAGGUAAAGGCCCGAUCGAGACGUUCAGGACGAGCCUCGAGGACUGGGACCAGAACCAGUUGGAGGUCCGAGACAUUCUCGACAAAUACUGCUUAAGAUCGCUUUACGCUUUCAAUACCUGGUCGGGUCGCGGCGUUCCGAUCCGGUUUAACCCCAGGAACGGCAGAUCUAUGCUGGCUUAUAAAGAUGGAUCUAAGGUUCACAUUGACGGAGAGCCCAAGGAUUCCUUGAUCCAAAACAAUGGAUAGAUAAAUGGGUGAUUAUCAACCGAUGCAUUAUAUAAAAUGCAUCCAGACAGUAAAUUAACUGGUUUAUAAAUAGUUACAUUAUUUUUCAAAAAAAAAAAAUUCUAUGCAUAUAGUGGUAUUGUGGAAUAUGUUUCUACUACUUGAUGCCUUAAAUGCCUUUAGCUUAUAGGACUUAAUAAACCAGCAUAAAGAGUGCUAGCUUUUUUCUUCUCUUGGUACUUUGAUUCAAGAAGUACAUGUUAGCUAAAUCUGCCUCAAUCUUGAAUGUUUGAAGUUUUAUGCUCUUCUACAUUACAGUCCUACUUGGAUCUCUAUUUUCGUUCUUCAUUGUAUAUGUAAGACAAUGGCAUUAAAAUCACUGUCAGCUUUUGGAUCCAUUACUUCUAGUUUGAAUUACAAUGGCAUUAAAGAUAAAUUGGGUUGUGUUUGUUGCAUACUGCCUUUUAGCCUCCAUCCAUAUCCCUACGUAAGCUUGUUUUAUAUCAUAUCAAUAAAGGUGAAAGGUUGCUUUACCAAAUAAUAUAAGGCGCGUUAGCGCUUUAGGACAUUCCUUUUAAGAAAGUAUCUAUAGCUCACAAUACAUCUUAAUUUUUUGUGACUUUAAUAUACACUAUAGCAUAUGUUGUAAUGUCAGUCUUAUAGCUACAGAAUGAUUUCCCUAGGUGAAAAUGUCAUCCUCUGCUUUCGUGGAAAUGUGAGUACAUACAUUUUGACUAGAUUGACACCUACUACUCAUUCAUAAAUCAUGUGGUACCUCAUAAAUCCAGUUCUCUAAAUAUUUUAAUAACGAAAGUUAUUAUAGUUUGUUUAUUUCAAGAUACAAGUAGCACUGCCCAAUUCUACUCUACAUAUUGACCAUGGUGAAAAAUUGUUGUCUCAGACGACGCUCACUUAUACAACAGUUUAAUGAACGUCUUAGAAUUCCAUUUUGUUACAUAAGGUAAUUUAAAACUUAGAUAUGCUAAAUAAGAGGAGACUGCAUAAUUAAAGGAGAUUGCACAAACUAUCAAGGAGAUGAAGUGAAGCAAACAAAGUAGGAAUCCCGACAAAGCAGUUGAUCGGCUGCAGAUACGAUCAAUUCUCA